AUGCUAUGCCUGACAGCUUUGCACAUCAGGCACUGGAUCUCCCAGAAACCAGGGAAAGCAGUGGAGUUGACUGGGAAAAAAUGUAUUUAUCAAGCAGAAUCCCAGAAAAGCCAGCUCACCCUUACUGAGGAUGUCUCCACAAGCAAGGCUGCCAGUGUAGCAGCAGUAAAAAUUGAUGUUCUGCAGUAUGGAGUGAUCCUGGCUUUCAUUUCAAGUGUUUGUGGACAGUCACUGACCUCAUCUGAGUCUGUGGUGAAGAAUCCUGGACAGUCUGUCACUCUGUCCUGUACUGUUUCUGGAUUCUCUAUGAGCAGCUAUAACGUGCACUGGAUCCGUCAGAAACCAGGGAAAGGACUAGAGUGGAUUGGAUUCAUUGACACUGGCACUGGUACAGCAUAUGCCCAGUCUCUCCAGGGCCAGUUCUCCAUCACCAAAUACACCAGCAAAAACAUUCUGCAUUUAGAGGUGAAAAGCCUUAAAGCUGAAGACACAGCUGUUUAUUACUGUGCUAGAGACUCACAGUCACACAAAGAGCUACAGUGCUGA